rnacentral:rRNA from 1 species
UUGAACGCUGGCGGCAUGCCUUACACAUGCAAGUCGAACGGUAACAGGUCUUCGGAUGCUGACGAGUGGCGAACGGGUGAGUAAUACAUCGGAACGUGCCCGAGAGUGGGGGAUAACGGAGCGAAAGCUUUGCUAAUACCGCAUACGAUCUACGGAUGGAAGCAGGGGACCGCAAGGCCUUGCGCUCAUGGAGCGGCCGAUGGCAGAUUAGGUAGUUGGUGGGAUAAAAGCUUACCAAGCCGACGAUCUGUAGCUGGUCUGAGAGGACGACCAGCCACACUGGGACUGAGACACGACCCAGACUCCUACGGGAGGCAGCAGUGGGGAAUUUUGGACAAUGGGGGCAACCCUGAUCCAGCCAUUCCGCGUGAGUGAAGAAGGCCUUCGGGUUGUAAAGCUCUUUCGGCAGGAACGAAACGGUGGAGGCUAAUAUCCUUCAUCAAUGACGGUACCUGAAGAAGAAGCACGGGCUAACUACGU